ACUUCGUCAAUGUUAAGCUAAACAGUUAGCUAGCAGCUAGUGUGCAACGUUAGUGCUGACUCGUUUCUAUGGAGUGAAGAUGGCCCCUUUUCCCGACGAGGGGGAUGUUUUUACUGGCCCACAUUUGCGAAUGAAACAGUUGCCCUUGACAACAGUUUGCCCCGGCAACAAAUCUGCCCACACAGGCUGUGAACAAGCGAUUUGGUGGCAUUCUCUCUUUACCACCAUGCUCGAUGCUAUGUACAAGGAUCGCUACUUCGAUGCAGACAAGAAACAGGGUUUACAUGAAAUGUUACAUACAUAGCUGGACAAGAUGGAAACGGACACAGCGACAGUGCGCCCCCGAGGAAGAGGCCACGGACAGACAGAGCUGAAACUUCACUGCCUGACAUGUGUGAUGAAAUCCUGGUUGAGAAUGAAACGAAUGAACAAAAGAACAACGAAACAGCACAGCAAGCUUUGUGAACAGACACACCCCGUCACCCAACACACUGGUAUUUCAUAGUUGGAAAAACAGAAGACUGAUUUCCUAUCCUAACCCUGGCCCAGAUGCUGUAGAUGAGAUGACAUCACAGUGGACAGGCCAAGAACAACGGCUUCAUUCACUAUGGAGGCCUCAGUCACUCGUGUUCUACUAGCUAGCGCCCAGGAAAACAACGGUGACCUGCCUGAACUUGACACCACCGAAGGGGUGACCUCCUCCACCCCUCCCUCCAGGGCCUAGCUUCCCACCAUCACCCCCACCCAGGCACCACCCUCCUCCAUCUCCCCCUGGCCCUCCACCAGUGGUGGGUCACGCUGCUGAGUUCUCACCCCAGCCUGACAAAUACCAAUUGGCCAGGGACACAGACACAACAGGGUGAGAAUGAGACAGCUGUGGCCCAGGAAGGCAGGCCAUUAAAACUGAGUCAAUCAGCCAAGUGGCCCAGGAGACUGUCCCUCACUCUACCCAGGUUACAGUGUCCUCAGCCUGGACACUGCAGCUCCAUGGAGUCCCAGACCCGAACCGUCUCCUCCCUAUCUAGCUAUCUACCUUAAUUGUUUAUCUCCAAUCCCCUAUAGCACAGAGCUUGAGCCAACUCAAAGGUGCCCGCAUGUUUUGUUCAGCCACCUUCAUCUUCUUUCCUCUUGCUUUUCCUCCCCGGCAAUCCCUCUUUUUCAGAAACAUCAUCCCGAAACAUCAAAGUGAUACCACCCUCUGACAUCAAGAAUCAAAAGUUAUGGUUAUAUAAGCCGGGGGAUUUUUCUCUCUCUCUCUCUCUCUCUCUCGCUCUCUCUUUUGAUGAAAAAGUACAGGCUGUGUGUAUAUACUUAAAAUAUGAUUCAUCUGGGGAAGGUGAUGCUGUAUGAAAGUGCCAUGUAACGGCACUAUGAAGUACAGUAACAAGAAAUGAUACAAAACCUGCUUCCCAUAUGUCACAUGACCAUUAACCUACGAGCUACCUAUCCGACACCCUUGUCAUUUGUUUUCAGUUAGGUCAACAGGAAGCAAUAUGAACCUGUCUACGACUACAGUGUCCUAGUAACACGGGGUACCUCAGCCCCGGAUUGGAAUUUGGAAAAGUCAACGAUUCGAUAAUUACACAUCAAAGGUGUACAAAGCAGGUUACCGCAUGUUCCUGAGGCCUAUAUUUAGUCCUGCUUGCAAGGUGGAGACUAGGAAGGAAGCCGUUCUAUUUAAACACCCCUGUGCUGUGCCUGCCUGUGUGAUAAUCAUCUUCCUGUAGUUUAUUAACUGCAGUCUGAGAAGCUGAGCAUCUGGGCUGUCAACAACAGCAAUUGAGCCGCCGUUUGGUUUGCUCCCGUCAGCCAGUGAGUCACCUGGGUGCAACAUCCCCCCCACCCCCCCCACCCACCUGUAAAGACCUCGCAGGCAAAUACAAACAGGGACCCAAAGAAGGACCAAGCAGCGAGCGGGCUCAUGGCGGAAGCCUCUAGUAGACUAAAGAGGAGGGUUUAUUAGAGACGCUCACUUCCAACUGAGACUCUCUCAGAUUCGUGAGUAGCACUCUUGUAAAAAAUGUUAGUCAUUGAAACUGUGAUUUUGAGUCAAAGACUAUAAAAGAGAAACCUCUGCAGCAGAUGCUGGAACAUCCACCUUUCAGGAGAGCUCUUUAAUGGACUCAAAAUUGGGGUGGGGAGGAACAAGGAAAUAAGUGCAUGAAUAAUUACAGCUAUAAACGCCUCAGGGGAUUCGACAGGUUUCUUAUAUUUUCUAAAUGUUUCCGCCUCUUAAAAUAGGCUUGUACAUAUUAUCUCUUGAGGCUUCUUUAUAGCCAACCACUUCAAAGAGCUGAGGAUGAGGGCCCCUUAUCAUCAUUUGUAUUUAAAUCUGCAGCCUCUCUGUCAUUUCCUGCUGUCCUAAACAUUCUCUGACUGACACGGCUUUCUCUGAAUGUUCUAUGACUGCGGUCCAUACAUCUAUUAGGACCGCACUGUCGGUUAAGGGCUUGUAAGUAAGCAUUUCACGGUAAGGUCAACACUUGCUGUAUUCGGCGCACGUGACAAAUAAAGUUUGAUUUGAUUUGA